rnacentral:rRNA from 1 species
AUUGAACGCUGGCGGCAGGCCUAACACAUGCAAGUAGAACGAGUGGCGGACGGGUGAGUAAUGUCUGGGAAACUGCCCGAUGGAGGGGGAUAACUACUGGAAACGGUAGCUAAUACCGCAUACCAUCGGAUGUGCCCAGAUGGGAGUAGCUAGUUGGUGGGGUAACGCCUAACCUGGGCGACGAUCCCUAGCUGGUCUGAGAGGAAGACCAGCAACACUGGAACUGAGACACGGUCAAGAGUCUGACGGGAGGCAGCAGUGGGGAAUAUGGGAAAAGGGGCGCAAGCCGGAUGCAGCCAUGCCGCGUGUAUGAAGAAGGUCUUCGGGUUGUAAAGUACUUUCAGCGGGGAGGCGGUACUCGCAGAAGAAGCAACGGCUAACUCCGUGCCAGCAGCCGCGGUAAUUC